rnacentral:lncRNA from 1 species
GAACUCAUUCGCAGUUCCGCCGGCUUUGGCUUCACAUUAAGUGGAGGCCGAGAUGCAGGUGGGGAUGCUCCGCUGGCAGUGCGCCGGCUGCUGAAGGAUGGACCAGCUCAGCGCUGUGGUCGCUUGCAGGUGAACCAAAAGGCACCCUCCAUUCGAUGGUGCCAGCCCUGUCCUCUCCCGUUGGUGUGCUCUCCAUUUUGACCUUCCUACAACACCCCUUGCCUUGCACUCUUUCAGGCCGGCGACCUCGUGCUUCACAUCAAUGGAGAGUCAACUCAGGGCCUCACUCAUGUUGAGGUCGUGGAUCGGAUUCGUAGAGGUGGCCCCCGGCUUUGCCUCGUGCUAAGCAGGCCUCCUGAAACCCACCCUGGCAAGCCUGAGGUGGUAGGAAGGCCCCAGAAAGAAGAUGUCCUGCCAUCCCCAGAUCGCAUUCCAGAUCCUGGGGAGCCAGAGAUGACGAAGACUCGCAGCGCCAGCACUUCCUCCCCACUUCAGCAUCCACGACCCCGUACGACCCCCCAAAACCGGGGCAGCCAGGAGCCUCGCCUAGAAGGGGCGGCCGACGGCCCCGCGGUUCUUGCUGCAGAGCGCCGCACGGAGGACCCCAACGACCAAACUCCGGAUUCUCCCGGACCCUGGCUGACGCCCAGCGAGGAACGGCUCUCGCGGGCCCUAGGGGUCCCGGGGGCCGAGCAGCUCGCCCUGGAGAUGGCAACCGGAAGGCGGAGGCACUGAGCGUGCAGCAGAAGGUUCACUUGGCAUUCCCCAACCUACAUCUGGCGUGCUGCCCCCGCCGCUCUCUUAGCAUCACUGGAGAACUUCCUUGGUCUUGUUCCCCACCCCCGCACCCCCCGCAUCUUGCUUCGCAGUCGACCCGCCCGCGCUCCCCUUGUGGCGUCAGUGGUAUGGCCCUUCCCAACCGGCCAGCCCGGCGCUUCUUGUUUCGGGGCCGGGGAGGUAAUAAAAUGGUUCAAUCCAGUCUUGACUUGUCAGGUGCUCCAGGCCAGGUGGGGAUCCCAAGUCCCACACGUGAAGGAGGGGGAGGGUCGAUCUGGUUUCGAGGAGGGCCUCUUCAAGCAACCUUUGGCAAGCUUACUUCGCGCUGUUUCUUUCAUGCCUCUAAAGAGCUCUUUGCUUCUGCCGGCGCGCAUUGGACCCACUCCGUUCCCACUUUGCCAACUCCUGGUUCUUUCCCCAUUCAUUCAUUUCACUUUUUUGGAGGUGUACAGGGCUCACAGCUAAUUAUUGCGCAUGGCGUGGGGAAUGCAGAGGUGGGCCUGUUGUGGCAAGAGUGCACCAGUUUACCCUCAACCCCGGCGGGCCGGGAAUCGUCCAGACCCUCAAGUGCACUAGAUAGCAAAGUUAGAACCUAGCGGCUUCCUUCGCCGAGAGCCUGCGGUCACUCACUUCCGGCCUGGUCGGCCAGCUUUCGCUGGCUGUAGACUGCCACCCUCAAGGCACCGGCUGGGGCCCCGGAGCCCCCUUCGGGGCGGAGCCAGGAAGGUGUGAGUCAGCAGGCUGGGCUAAAAACGGCUGUUAGAAACUUUGGGCCGCGCCCCCUCUUCCACAGAUGGUGACGAACUGCAGCCGGGCUUGUGUGCACACGCUACACGCUGGGCGUUCCCAGUCCUGGAAGAGGCCAGAGUUUCCUCCGUCCUGGGAACAGAGCCCCAAAGCCCGGUCUUAUAUGGCGAGCUGGGCUCUGAUGUAGCCCCAGUGCCAGCGCUUACUGAGAUCAGCAAUGUCCAGUCACCUCCGUGGUCACCACACUCACGACACUUGGCCCUAUCCCCCCAACGAAGGAAGCUGUGGUCUGGAGGGAAUGAACAACUCUCACCUCUAUGGGGAGGGGCUGGAGAGGUGGGAGGAAGUAAAGGACCCUCGUGGGAGUGUCCAGGGCGGCGCUGGAGAAGAAAGAGGGACUGUAAAACUAGGCUGGGAGUUGGGGUAUAAAGAGGUGAAGAGGUGAACCCUUGAAUGAUUAGUGCUGUAGCAAUUGUGGGAGAGUGCACUGGGGCUUCUAGCUGACCCUUACUCAGCUUGAUAGAAGGUGUGGCUCUAGGGAAGUCAGGGAAGGACUUCAGAGCCUUAGUCACACCCAGGAGUCUUAACAAUAGUAACCCCAACCACCAUUUACUUGGUUUUAUCCUGGCUACCGGCUUUACUGGCACUAUUUCCACUUAGUUACACAUUGACUCAACAAUCCUGAUGCGUCCAUUUCACAGAGCAGAGAAAUGAAUCCCAGUGAGUAUAAAUAGCGUAAGUUGAGGAUUGAAGCAAGAUUUAAUCUUGCCCAAUUCUUUGACAAGUAUUAACUGAACCCCAACUGUUUACCUUGCACUGUGAUAGGCACUGAUGAAAUGUUGGAGGGAUGAAACAUAGAUUUCUAUCCUUGUGUAUCUAAUGUAGUGGAGGGGGGUAGAUUGAUGUCAGAAAAGACACAGGAGAUGAAUAAAAGAAUUUCAGAGAGAAGUGAGAGUUAUGAA